CAGUUCAUUAACAGUAAUUGCUGAGGCCUUUUUAGUUGUCAAACAUAAGCCUAAGAACGUUUCCCCCAGUAGUUUAUUUGGAUUAACCCUUUGAUCUACUGAAAUCAAAUAGUGCUGGAUGGUGUGAAAGUGAAGGACUUACCCCUGACCCUGUUGCAGCCCCAGAGUUAACAUACCCUGUUCUCAUUUAUACUUCUCUAGUAGGCUCCAUGCGUGUAUCAGCAUAUUUAAACAUGUAACAUUUUAAAGACACACUUGAGGUUAUAUAAUUUAUACGUGAAGCAUGCUUUUUAAAUUCCACACAUAUAUUCUGAAUAUUUUCCCAUAUUAGUGCAUGUGAGUGUGUGCGUGUGAGUGUGUGUGCAUGAGAAAGACAUACUUUGGGCUCCUAUUUUUUCUGGUGCUUUGAGUUCUAAACUAAAAGUUGAACGAGAAGCACUUUCAGCGUCUGCCUGCGAGUUCUGACCGACCACACUAAUCAGCACCCUGUUUUCCAGGCGUCUCCUGCAAUGUUUCUGUGGAUGAGGAACAGAUACUGUCCAAACGGGAAAAUGAAGACGGGUGCAUCCUGGAGACUCUGCACUGCGCGGGAUGCUCGCUCGCCCUCGGCUACGUCUACAGGUGCACCCCCAACCACCUGGAUUACAAGAGGGACUUGUUCUGCCUCAAGGUGGAAGCCACUGAGAGUUAUGUUUUAGGGUCCUCUGAAAAGAAGAUUGUGUCAGACGAUAAGGAGGUUUUCAAUCUUGAGAGCAGAACUGAAAUAGAAAACUCUCUGAAGCAGAUGGAAGAUGUUUUGAAAAUAUUACAAACGAAGCUGCGGGACAUGGAAACAAAGUUUUCCUUCGCCAGUUCCCAAGCUGACAUCUGUUCCCAGUCUCCCACCCUUGACUUCCCUGCCAAUGGGUAAUUUUUAUGUGUAGCAGUUCUUGUUACAAUUUACCUCACCUGGACUCUGUGCGCGUUGCAAACUCGAGUAUUGAUCAGAUGAGAAUAAUUGUAGAAUUACUUUUGUGGCUGUAUUUCAUGGUAGAGACGACUAUUUUCCAAGUUUGAAUUUUGAACCCAUUUCAUGAUAGUUGCUGGAAAUAGAACUUAGGAGUUUAUAUUCUGGUAAGAAACUGCCCUGAUUUUCUGAACUGUUUUCUCCUUUGUAUCAAGUUCAUUCUUCAUUUUGUACUUUUUUAACUUUCUUCCAUCUUUAAUACUUCGAGUAAUAUUUAAUGUUGAAUGGUAAGAGGAUCUUGGCGGUUUUGGGCCCACUGUGUGGUUGUCUUCUUUGAAAUAAACACAGGCUGUUCGCUGGAGGAA